GACGAACGCUGGCGGCGUGCCUAAUACAUGCAAGUCGAACGCUUCUUUCCUCCCGAGUGCUUGCACUCAAUUGGAAAGAGGAGUGGCGGACGGGUGAGUAACACGUGGGUAACCUACCCAUCAGAGGGGGAUAACACUUGGAAACAGGUGCUAAUACCGCAUAACAGUUUAUGCCGCAUGGCAUAAGAGUGAAAGGCGCUUUCGGGUGUCGCUGAUGGAUGGACCCGCGGUGCAUUAGCUAGUUGGUGAGGUAACGGCUCACCAAGGCCACGAUGCAUAGCCGACCUGAGAGGGUGAUCGGCCACACUGGGACUGAGACACGGCCCAGACUCCUACGGGAGGCAGCAGUAGGGAAUCUUCGGCAAUGGACGAAAGUCUGACCGAGCAACGCCGCGUGAGUGAAGAAGGUUUUCGGAUCGUAAAACUCUGUUGUUAGAGAAGAACAAGGACGUUAGUAAAUGAACGUCCCCUGACGGUAUCUAACCAGAAAGCCACGGCUAACUACGUG
rnacentral:rRNA from 1 species